UACAGAGGAUGCAAGCGUUAUCCGGAAUUAUUGGGCGUAAAGAGCGUGUAGGCGGCCAGGUAGGUCUGGUGUGAAAACUCGAGGCUUAACCUCGAGAUGUCAUCGGAAACCAUCUGGCUAGAGUCCGGAAGAGGAGAGUGGAAUUCCUGGUGUAGCGGUGAAAUGCGCAGAUAUCAGGAAGAACACCAAUGGCGAAAGCAGCUCUCUGGGACGGUACUGACGCUGAGACGCGAAAGCGUGGGGAGCGAACAGG
rnacentral:rRNA from 1 species